AGGAUAAACGCUGGCGGCGUGCCUAACACAUGCAAGUCGAACGUCCUACGCAAGUAGGGAGUGGCGGACGGGUGAGUAACACGUGGGCAAUUUACCUUUCGGUGAGGAAUACCGGCGAGAAAUCGCCGACAAUACCGCAUACGCUUCGCAAGAAGCAAAGUCGCAAGACGCCGGAGGAGGAGCCUGCGCCCGAUUAGCUCGUUGGUGGAGUAAUGGUCUACCAAGGCGACGAUCGGUAGCUGGUCUGAGAGGAUGAUCAGCCAGACUGGGACUGAGAACGGCCCAGACUCCUACGGGAGGCAGCAGUAGGGAAUUUUCCACAAUGGGCGAAAAGCCUGAUGGAGCAACGCCGCGUGCAGGACGAAGGCUUUCGGGUCGUAAACUGCUUUUAUAUGUGACGAUUAUGACGGUAGCAUAUGAAUAAGGAUCGGCUAACUCCGUGCCAGCAGCCGC
rnacentral:rRNA from 1 species